UCGUAACAAGGUUUCCGUAGGUGAACCUGCGGAAGGAUCAUUACCGAGUGUAGGGUUCCUAGCGAGCCCAACCUCCCACCCGUGUUUACUGUACCUUAGUUGCUUCGGCGGGCCCGCCAUUCAUGGCCGCCGGGGGCUCUCAGCCCCGGGCCCGCGCCCGCCGGAGACACCACGAACUCUGUCUGAUCUAGUGAAGUCUGAGUUGAUUGUAUCGCAAUCAGUUAAAACUUUCAACAAUGGAUCUCUUGGUUCCGGCAUCGAUGAAGAACGCAGCGAAAUGCGAUAACUAGUGUGAAUUGCAGAAUUCCGUGAAUCAUCGAGUCUUUGAACGCACAUUGCGCCCCCUGGUAUUCCGGGGGGCAUGCCUGUCCGAGCGUCAUUGCUGCCCAUCAAGCACGGCUUGUGUGUUGGGUCGUCGUCCCCUCUCCGGGGGGGACGGGCCCCAAAGGCAGCGGCGGCACCGCGUCCGAUCCUCGAGCGUAUGGGGCUUUGUCACCCGCUCUGUAGGCCCGGCCGGCGCUUGCCGAACGCAAAUCAAUCUUUUUCCAGGUUGACCUCGGAUCAGGUAGGGAUACCCGCUGAACUUAAGCAUAUC
rnacentral:misc_RNA from 1 species